UACAGAGGGUGCGAGCGUUGUUCGGAAUUAUUGGGCGUAAAGGGCGCGUAGGCGGUGCGGUAAGUCACCUGUGAAAUCUCCUGGCUCAACUGGGAGCUUGCAGGCGAAACUGCCGUGCUGGAGUGUGGGAGAGGUGCGUGGAAUUCCCGGUGUAGCGGUGAAAUGCGCAGAUAUCGGGAGGAACACCAGUAGCGAAGGCGGCACUCUGGGCCGGUACUGACGCUGAGGAGCGAAAGCGUGGGGAGCGAACAGG
rnacentral:rRNA from 1 species